CAGUAGCCACGGUAAUACGGAGGAUCCAAGCGUUAUCCGGAAUCAUUGGGUUUAAAGGGUCCGUAGGCGGUCUUGUAAGUCAGUGGUGAAAGCCCAUCGCUCAACGGUGGAACGGCCAUUGAUACUGCAGGACUUGAAUUAUUGGGAAGUAACUAGAAUAUGUAGUGUAGCGGUGAAAUGCUUAGAGAUUACAUGGAAUACCAAUUGCGAAGGCAGGUUACUACCAAUUGAUUGACGCUGAUGGACGAAAGCGUGGGUAGCGAACAGGAUUAGAUACCCCGGUAGUCCCUGUCUCUUAUAC
rnacentral:rRNA from 1 species